rnacentral:rRNA from 1 species
AUUGAACGCUGGCGGCAGGCCUAACACAUGCAAGUCGAGCGCGCGGCGGACGGGUGAGUAAUGUCUGGGAAACUGCCUGCUGGAGGGGGAUAACUACUCGCAACGGUAGCUAAUACCGCAUACCAUCAGAUGUGCCCCGAUGGGAUUAGCUAGUAGGUGGGGUAACGGCUCACCUAGGCAACGAUCCCUAGCGGGUCUGAGAGGAUGACCAGCCACACUGGAACUGAGACACGGUCCAGACUCCUACGGGAGGCAGCAGUGGGGAAUAUUGCACAAUGGGCGCAAGCCUGAUACAGCCAUGCCGCGUGUAUGAAGAAGGCCUUCGGGUUGUAAAGCACUUUCAGCGGGGAGGCGUUACCCGCAGAAGAAGCACCGGCUAACUCCGUGCCAGCAGCCGCGGUAAUUC